GUGGAUUCCCUACUAGGCAUGGAGUCCCGGGUUCUAUCCGCAGUACCACUAAUAAAAUUAAAAAUAAAAAUUCUAUGGGCUGGAGUUGUGGCUCAGUGGCAGAGCGCUUGCCUAGCACGUGCGAGGCACUGGGUUCAAGUCUCAGCAUCACAUAUAAAUAAAUAAAGGUCCAUCAAUAACUAAUAAAAAUAUUUUAAAAAUUCUACACGUUUAGCUGGUUACAGUGGUGCACACCUGUAAUCUUAGUUGAAGCUAACCUCAGCAACUUAGUGAGACACUGUGUCAAAAUAAAAAAUAUAAUGGUCUGGGUAUGUGGCUCAGAGGUUGAAUGCCCCUGGGUUGAGUUCCUGGUAGCAAAAAAAAAAAAAAAAAAAUCUACAUGAUUAAAAAUUAUAUUCUGCAGGUGAUAGAAAUAAUGUUUCCAUGUGUCCAUUUAUUCAAUUUUUCUCAUCUUAAUGCUCAAGCCUAUAUUAUUCCUAAGCUUUUGUCUGAUUUUCCAUCAAUUACUAAGACAGAUAUGUAAAAUCAUUUGCAUGGAUUUAUUUCUUCUUUGAUAUCUUUAGAUUUUAUUUUAUUUAUUUGUAAUUAUUUUUUAAAUUAUAAUAUGUUCCUGGUGAAUUAAACCUUUUAUCACUAUGAAGACCCUCU
rnacentral:lncRNA from 1 species